AGCAGUCGCCGCGGUAAUACGGAGGGGGCUAGCGUUGUUCGGAAUUACUGGGCGUAAAGCGAGCGCAGGCGGUUAGAUAAGUCUGAAGUUAAAGGCUGUGGCUUAACCAUAGUACGCUUUGGAAACUGUUUAACUUGAGUGCAAGAGGGGAGAGUGGAAUUCCUUGUGUAGCGGUGAAAUGCGUAGAUAUAUGGAGGAACACCGGUGGCGAAAGCGGCUCUCUGGCUUGUAACUGACGCUGAGGCUCGAAAGCGUGGGGAGCAAACAGGAUUAGAUACCCGCGUAGUCCCUGUCUCUUAUACA
rnacentral:rRNA from 1 species